rnacentral:rRNA from 1 species
UACAGAGGUCUCAAGCGUUGUUCGGAUUCAUUGGGCGUAAAGGGUGCGUAGGUGGCGCCGUAAGUCAGGUGUGAAAUUUCGGAGCUUAACUCCGAAACUGCAUUUGAUACUGCGGAGCUUGAGGACUGGAGAGGAGAGUGGAAUUUACGGUGUAGCAGUGAAAUGCGUAGAGAUCGUGAGGAAGACCAGUGGCGAAGGCGGGUCUCUGGACAGUUCCUGACACUGAGGCACGAAGGCCAGGGGAGCAAACGGG